rnacentral:rRNA from 1 species
GACGAACGCUGGCGGCGUGCCUAAUACAUGCAAGUUGAGCGCUGAAGGUUGGUACUUGUACCAACUGGAUGAGCAGCGAACGGGUGAGUAACGCGUGGGGAAUCUGCCUUUGAGCGGGGGACAACAUUUGGAAACGAAUGCUAAUACCGCAUAAAAACUUUAAACACAAGUUUUAAGUUUGAAAGGUGCAAUUGCAUCACUCAAAGAUGAUCCCGCGUUGUAUUAGCUAGUUGGUGAGGUAAAGGCUCACCAAGGCGAUGAUACAUAGCCGACCUGAGAGGGUGAUCGGCCACAUUGGGACUGAGACACGGCCCAAACUCCUACGGGAGGCAGCAGUAGGGAAUCUUCGGCAAUGGACGAAAGUCUGACCGAGCAACGCCGCGUGAGUGAAGAAGGUUUUCGGAUCGUAAAACUCUGUUGGUAGAGAAGAACGUUGGUGAGAGUGGAAAGCUCAUCAAGUGACGGUAACUACCCAGAAAGGGACGGCUAACUACGUG